rnacentral:rRNA from 1 species
UACAGAGGGUGCGAGCGUUAAUCGGAAUUACUGGGCGUAAAGGGCGCGUAGGUGGAUAAAUGAGUCGGAUGUGAAAGGCCUGGGCUUAACCUAGGAAUGUCAUCUGAUACUGUUUAUCUAGAGUGAAGCAGAGGGUAGCGGAAUUUCCGGUGUAGCGGUGAAAUGCAUAGAUAUCGGAAGGAACACCCGUGGCGAAGGCGGCUACCUGGGCUUUGACUGACACUGAGGCGCGAAAGCGUGGGGAGCGAACAGG